UACGUAGGGGGCAAGCGUUGUCCGGAAUCAUUGGGCGUAAAGCGCGUGUAGGCGGUUCGGUAAGUCUGCUGUGAAAGUCCAGGGCUCAACCCUGGGAUGCCGGUGGAUACUGUCGAACUAGAGUACGGAAGAGGCGAGUGGAAUUCCCGGUGUAGCGGUGAAAUGCGCAGGAUAUCGGGAAGGAACACCAAUGGCGAAGGCAG
rnacentral:rRNA from 1 species